UACACACCGCCCGUCAAACCACGAGAGUUGGUAAUACCAGAAGUACGUAGCCUAACCGUAAGGAAGGCGCGUCCCAAGGUAGGACUAGCGAUUGGGGUUAAGUCGUAACAAGGUAUCCGUACGGGAACGUGCGGAUGGAUCACCUCCUUUCUAUGGAGAUAUGACAAAAACAGAUUGACUAUUAUAUGUUCUAUUUAGUUUUCAGAGAUCAUUAAAAAUGAAUCUCUGGAAAAGAGUAUUGUUCUUUGAAAACUGAAUAUUAGAUAAGCAUUGUAAAAAGAUUAAAUAAAUCAAAUCAAUUUUAACAAAUUAAUAAAUUUUACUGAAUCAAUUAUCAAUUGCUUUAAGAUUUUUUCUAAAAAAAUAGUAAGGGCACAUGGUGAAUGCCUUGGAAAAUGGAGCCGAAGAAGGACGUGAUUACCUGCGAAAAGCAUCGGGGAGCUGGAAGUAAGCUUUGAUCCGGUGAUAUCCGAAUGGGGAAACCCAAUAUGAUUAAUCUCAUAUUAUCCAUAAAUGAAUACAUAGUUUAUGAGAAGGGAACCUUGGGAACUGAAACAUCUUAGUACCAAGAGGAAAAGAAAAUAAUAAUGAUUCCGUUAGUAGCGGCGAGCGAACGCGGAAAAGGCCAAACCAGUCUACGGGCUGGGGUUGUAGGACAUCUUUUAGAGUUACAAAAUCAAUAUAUAGUAGAAGCUACUGGGAAGUAGUGGCAUAGAGGGUGAUACCCCCGUAUACGAAAUAUAUUGAUCUCGUAGAUGUAUCCUGAGUACGACGAAACACGUGAAAUUUUGUCGGAAUCCGCCGAGACCACUCGGCAAGCCUAAAUACUCCCAUUUUACCGAUAGUGAACCAGUAC
rnacentral:sRNA from 2 species